rnacentral:lncRNA from 1 species
GGGGGUAUUCCCCCUCUAUCCUGGAGAAUAAAGUUGCUGUGAAACCUCUUAUGGCUGCAAGGAAUUCAGUUACAGAGUUUAUGACUCCCAGAGGCAAGAUGUUUGGAGGCAGCCUGGGAGGAGGCUCACAGGACUUCUGCCAGAAGAGGAGUAUUUACAGUGAACCUGCCUGGGGGAGUAAAAGGAUCAGAAAUUGUGAUCCUCAGGGAAGGCUGAAGAUCGAAGCUCCUGUGGGCUGGGUGAGGAAGUCAGGAAACAGAGACUACAGAAAAAGCCACCGGCCCAGCCCCAUAGCCCAGGGCAGAAGUGCCAGGAUUCAAGUUCAGAUCUGCCUCCCUCCAAUGCCCCUGUUGUUUCCACCUCAUCAUGCUGACUCUGUGAAGGCUGACACUGCAGAAAUAAAAGUCACAAGGUGG